UACGAAGGGGGCUAGCGUUGCUCGGAAUUACUGGGCGUAAAGGGCGCGCAGGCGGCUGCUCAAGUCAGGCGUGAAAGGCCUGGGCUCAACCCGGGAAUUGCGCUUGAGACUGGGCUGGCUUGAGUGCGGGAGAGGAUGGUGGAAUUCCCAGUGUAGAGGUGAAAUUCGUAGAUAUUGGGAAGAACACCGGUGGCGAAGGCGGGUCUCUGGGCCGAUACUGACGCUGAGGAGCGAAAGCGUGGGGAGCGAACAGG
rnacentral:rRNA from 1 species